AUUAAAAUGACAUAUGAUACAAAGAGAUAGUAUGGGAUAACAGAUAUGAAUUA
rnacentral:guide_RNA from 1 species